GCAGACGCCAAGUGCGAGAAAGCCAACUUGGAAAAACUGGUAAGUCUGUGGAUAAUAGUGACAGUCGCUGCUCUUGUCGAAGUUUCGAACGACGGACAGCAGCAGAGAGAAGCAGAAGAAAGAUGUGGUGAGGACGGUGUGCCCAAUCGUCGGAAGGACGAUCAAUGCUUGAGGGAGGAUGAAAAACAAAAGUUGACCAACACUGUAACUUAAUUUCUGACGUCAUUAAGACUGCAGCCAAUGAGAGAGCUUCAACCACAUUAACAAGCCAUUGCCAUGACGUCACGGGAAAUGUUGCCAGCUUUCACCAGUUGCCAAAAUGGAGGCUUGAGAGACUUCUGUUCUGGGAACAUAGUAGUUUGCUCGCAAUUUGCACCGGGGUAGCCAUAUGUCACACGCUGCAACCCUCGGUUCUACACUGGGCUUAUAAACAUUGUCGGGCAGGACUUGUCACCCCUCCUCACCCCACCCGACUCCUUCUGACGUGUGUCGGCGUGUCCGGGUCGUACAGCCGGGUCUUUGAGCUGGAUGGGGAAUCCCUUGUCAUCAGUGGUCAUUAUGCGACGCAGUACAAAGUCCUGAGCUUUGCUGGGCUCAACCAGGAAGGUCUCUGUCAGCUGGACAAAUUGGGAGACGUUCAAGUUGUCUUCAUCAAAUGCUGAUGUCUGUGACUGGCUACGUGCAAGGCUCAAUCCUGCCAUUCAAAGAUUUUUUUCAUUUAAGAUGUGUUCAUGUUAAAAUUCAUAUUCAUUUCAAGCUGUAAAGAAAAAUAGUCAAAAUUUUGCCACUCAAUCAAAAGUAACACUUAAGAAAAGUGAAAAGCUUUGCAAUCCUUGAGGUAAAAUGUCUAUGCAAUUUUUUAAUGAAGAUUUUCUGAUAUAUUGUUGAAUUCCUGAUGUUUCAUCGGAACCAAAGAACUGGUUGUGAAAAAGCAUGAAAAAGUUGAAAAC